GGACCGUUAGUAAAUCGGAGAUACACGAGACUUUUAAUCUUGUUAGGUGGGUUCGACUCCCACACGGUUCA
rnacentral:tRNA from 1 species